CCUACGGGGUGCUGCAGUGGGGAAUAUUGGACAAUGGGCGAAAGCCUGAUCCAGCCAUGCCGCGUGUGUGAAGAAGGCCUUCGGGUUGUAAAGCACUUUCAGUGGGAAAGAAAGCCUUGGGGCUAAUACCCUCGAGGAAGGACAUCACCCACAGAAGAAGCACCGGCUAACUCCGUGCCAGCAGCCGCGGUAAUACGGAGGGUGCGAGCGUUAAUCGGAAUUACUGGGCGUAAAGCGCGCGUAGGCGGUCUGAUAAGCCGGUUGUGAAAGCCCCGGGCUCAACCUGGGAACGGCAUCCGGAACUGUCAGGCUAGAGUGCAGGAGAGGAAGGUAGAAUUCCCGGUGUAGCGGUGAAAUGCGUAGAGAUCGGGAGGAAUACCAGUGGCGAAGGCGGCCUUCUGGACUGACACUGACGCUGAGGUGCGAAAGCGUGGGUAGCAAACAGGAUUAGAUACCCUGGUAGUC
rnacentral:rRNA from 1 species